rnacentral:tRNA from 1 species
GGAGAGGUGGCCGAGCGGUUGAAGGCGGCAGUCCCGAAAACUGCUAUACGGGAAACCGUAUCGGGGGUUCAAAUCCCUUCCUCUCCG